UGAGAUGAGGGCAAUCAUUGCCUUGAUCACCAGGGUUGAUGUGACUGACCUGGCUGACUGGCAGCUGUCCCUCUUUGUCCCUCACCACUCCAUGUGUAUCCCUCCCAAAACUGUGUAGCUGGUAGAAGAUAAACUUGCCCAAUCGAGGAGGACAGUUCUUUGUUCAGUGGUAUACGAGUAGCUUUGCUCCCCUGCUAGAACCUCCAAACAGGCUCUCAAGAUUAAACAGCACAGUGUGUGUUGAGAUUCUUCUUUUUUCUUUUUUGGUAUGUGAUAUCCAGUUAUU
rnacentral:snRNA from 1 species